ensembl:misc_RNA
UAGAUGUCCCAGGGGAUUAUCUCUCCUUCCUACUCCACAUACUAGGAAUAGCACAGGCAUUGCCCGUGGGCACCUAUCCCACACCAAGCUAGUACUAGACUUCAACUCUGUACCAAAGAGACCACCCCCAGGGAUGAGAAGGAGCUUGAUCUUCAUGGCAAUUUCAUUCUUGGCUUUU